rnacentral:piRNA from 1 species
UACUAUUUAUAUGGGUCCAUCUUUAGAAA